rnacentral:rRNA from 1 species
GACGAACGCUGGCGGCGUGCUUAACACAUGCAAGUCGAGCGGACAGGCCCCUUCGGGGGUACACGAGCGGCGAACGGGUGAGGAACACGUGAGCAAUCUGCCCAUCACAUCGGGAUAACUCCGGGAAACCGAAGCUAAUACUGAAUACGACCACCUCCUGCAUCGGAUGGUGGCGGAAAGUUCAGGCGGUGAUGGAUGAGCUCACGGCCUAUCAGCUUGUUGGUGGGGUAACGGCCCACCAAGGCGUCGACGGGUACACGGCCUGAGAGGGUGACCGGCCACACUGCGACUGAGACACGGCCCAGACUCCAAUGGGAGGCAGCGGUGGAGAAUAGUGGACAGUGGGAGAAGGCAUGGUCCAGCAACGCCGCGUGGGGGAUGACGGGUUUCGGGUUGUAAACCUAUGUCAUCAGGGCCGAAGCGAAAGUGACGGUACCUGCAGAAGAAGCCCCGGCUAACUACGUG